rnacentral:rRNA from 1 species
AUGAACGCUAGCUACAGGCUUAACACAUGCAAGUCGAGGGGCAGCAUUUUAGUUUGCUUGCAAACUGAAGAUGGCGACCGGCGCACGGGUGAGUAACACGUAUCCAACCUGCCGAUAACUCCGGAAUAGCCUUUCGAAAGAAAGAUUAAUACCGGAUAGCAUACGAAUAUCGCAUGAUAUUUUUAUUAAAGAAUUUCGGUUAUCGAUGGGGAUGCGUUCCAUUAGUUUGUUGGCGGGGUAACGGCCCACCAAGACUGCGAUGGAUAGGGGUUCUGAGAGGAAGGUCCCCCACAUUGGAACUGAGACACGGUCCAAACUCCUACGGGAGGCAGCAGUGAGGAAUAUUGGUCAAUGGGCGAGAGCCUGAACCAGCCAAGUAGCGUGAAGGAUGAAGGCUCUAUGGGUCGUAAACUUCUUUUAUAUGGGAAUAAAGUUUUCCACGUGUGGAAUUUUGUAUGUACCAUAUGAAUAAGGAUCGGCUAACUCCGUGCCAGCAGCCGCGGUAAUACGGAGGAUCCGAGCGUUAUCCGGAUUUAUUGGGUUUAAAGGGAGCGUAGGUGGAUUGUUAAGUCAGUUGUGAAAGUUUGCGGCUCAACCGUAAAAUUGCAGUUGAAACUGGCAGUCUUGAGUACAGUAGAGGUGGGCGGAAUUCGUGGUGUAGCGGUGAAAUGCUUAGAUAUCACGAAGAACUCCGAUUGCGAAGGCAGCUCACUAGACUGUCACUGACACUGAUGCUCGAAAGUGUGGGUAUCAAACAGGAUUAGAUACCCUGGUAGUCCACACAGUAAACGAUGAAUACUCGCUGUUUGCGAUAUACAGUAAGCGGCCAAGCGAAAGCAUUAAGUAUUCCACCUGGGGAGUACGCCGGCAACGGUGAAACUCAAAGGAAUUGACGGGGGCCCGCACAAGCGGAGGAACAUGUGGUUUAAUUCGAUGAUACGCGAGGAACCUUACCCGGGCUUAAAUUGCAACAGAAUAUAUUGGAAACAGUAUAGCCGUAAGGCUGUUGUGAAGGUGCUGCAUGGUUGUCGUCAGCUCGUGCCGUGAGGUGUCGGCUUAAGUGCCAUAACGAGCGCAACCCUUAUCUUUAGUUACUAACAGGUUAUGCUGAGGACUCUAGAGAGACUGCCGUCGUAAGAUGUGAGGAAGGUGGGGAUGACGUCAAAUCAGCACGGCCCUUACGUCCGGGGCUACACACGUGUUACAAUGGGGGGUACAGAAGGCGGCUACCUGGUGACAGGAUGCUAAUCCCAAAAACCUCUCUCAGUUCGGAUCGAAGUCUGCAACCCGACUUCGUGAAGCUGGAUUCGCUAGUAAUCGCGCAUCAGCCAUGGCGCGGUGAAUACGUUCCCGGGCCUUGUACACACCGCCCGUCAAGCCAUGAAAGCCGGGGGUACCUGAAGUACGUAACCGCAAGGAGCGUCCUAGGGUAAAACUGGUAAUUGGGGCU